UUCGCUCGGGCAGUUUGGACCAUGGUUUAAGUAGCUUCGAAUUUAUACCCACCACGUAGUGUACGGAAUAUGUUCGGCAACUGGUUGCAGGGUAUUGAUAAACAAUUUUCUGCACAUAUUCUUGUGGGAGCGGCGGCCUUAUGCUGGGCAAUGUGGCUUACCAGGAAUGAUGUAGUUUUUAACAAUAAAUGUGUCUCAUCUCCUAUGCAGGUUAUUCAUAUUUGUACAUGAUGGCUCUGUACGUGGUCUAUCCUGCAGAAGCCGGAGGAUAGGGACCUUUUUAUGAUGGCGUCUACACGGCUGGAGCGUACGGCCAGGGAGGUUUUCUACCCCCAUGGAUGGCAGUGUGAUAUACGGAUAGGAUCUACCGCUCCUUAG
rnacentral:rRNA from 1 species